rnacentral:rRNA from 1 species
CAUCGAGUAGCUGGUUUCUUCCGAAGUUUCCCUCAGGAUAGCAGCAAAACAUACAAAUUAGUUUCAUCAGGUAAAGCUAACGAUUAGAGGAAUCUGGGAAAUAUUUUCCUAGACCUAUUCUCGAACUUUAAAUAGGUGAGAAAAGGGAAAUGCUUAAUUUUGAUUUCCUUUAUAGAAUAUAAGUUUUGUUAGUGGGCAUGUUGUGGUAAGCAUAUCAUGCGAUGCGGGUUGCUCCGAAAGUCUUGUUAAAGCGUCAAAUUUUUAUUUUAAUAUGGGUAAACUAGACACCACAAAGAAUGUAAAUAAAUGAAAACAGCUCGAACGUGGCCAUGGAAGUCGGAAUCGUCUAAGUAGUGUGUAACAACUAACGAGCCGAAUUUAUUUGUUUCGAAAAUGGAUGACGCUAAACCCAAAAGCUUAUACAAGACUGAAAAAUGAAUUUAUAUUUCUCAUUUUUCAUGUAGGAAGACGUGGAGAGAAAUUCGAAGAUUUGUACAGUGAUGUGCAUUUGAUUUCUCUCUAGUGCAGAUCUUGGUGGUAGUAGCGAGUACAAAAAUUAAAAUUUUUUGAGCUGAAGUGGAGAGAGGUCUCACGUGAACAGAAAUUGUACGUGAGUUAGUCGAUCCUAA